GACGUAGGUGGCGAACGUUAUCCGGAAUCAUUGGGCGUAAAGGGUGCGUAGAUGGCCUGAUAAGUUAGCAGUGGGAAAUCGAGGCUCAACCUCGUGGAAGCUGGUAAUACUGUUAGGCUCGAGUGCAGGAGAAGUUAACGGAACUCCAUGUGGAGCGGUAAAAUGUGUAGAUAUAUGGAAGAACAUCAAUAACGGCGAAGGCAGUUAACUAUUCUGUUACUGACGUUGAGGCACGAAAGCGUGGGGAGCAAACAGGG
rnacentral:rRNA from 1 species